rnacentral:rRNA from 1 species
GAUGAACGCUAGCUACAGGCUUAACACAUGCAAGUCGCGGGGCAGCAUGGGGGUUGCUUGCAAUCCCCGAUGGCGACCGGCGCACGGGUGAGUAACGCGUAUCCAACCUGCCCUUCACCACGGGAUAACCCGGCGAAAGUCGGACUAAUACCGUAUGUUGUCCAUUGACGGCAUCCGAUUUGGACGAAAGGUUUGGCGGUGAAGGAUGGGGAUGCGUCCGAUUAGCUGGACGGCGGGGUGACGGCCCACCGUGGCGACGAUCGGUAGGGGUUCUGAGAGGAAGGUCCCCCACACUGGAACUGAGACACGGUCCAGACUCCUACGGGAGGCAGCAGUGAGGAAUAUUGGUCAAUGGGCGUAAGCCUGAACCAGCCAAGUAGCGUGCAGGAAGACGGCCCUAUGGGUUGUAAACUGCUUUUAUGCGGGGAUAAAGUGGCCCACGUGUGGGUUUUUGCAGGUACCGCAUGAAUAAGGACCGGCUAAUUCCGUG